CCUACGGGAGGCUGCAGUGGGGAAUAUUGCACAAUGGGCGCAAGCCUGAUGCAGCCAUGCCGCGUGUGUGAAGAAGGCCUUCGGGUUGUAAAGCACUUUCAGCGGGGAGGAAGGCGGUGAGGUUAAUAACCUCAUCGAUUGACGUUACCCGCAGAAGAAGCACCGGCUAACUCCGUGCCGGCAGCCGCGGUAAUACGGAGGGUGCAAGCGUUAAUCGGAAUUACUGGGCGUAAAGCGCACGCAGGCGGUCUGUCAAGUCGGAUGUGAAAUCCCCGGGCUCAACCUGGGAACUGCAUUCGAAACUGGCAGGCUAGAGUCUUGUAGAGGGGGGUAGAAUUCCAGGUGUAGCGGUGAAAUGCGUAGAGAUCUGGAGGAAUACCGGUGGCGAAGGCGGCCCCCUGGACAAAGACUGACGCUCAGGUGCGAAAGCGUGGGGAGCAAACAGGAUUAGAUACCCGUGUAGUC
rnacentral:rRNA from 1 species